CUGAACCUAAGAGCCUUCUCACUGAACUGCAUCUCCAGAAAGAAACAAAGUAUUCUUUUGUGUCAUGUGGUAUUGACUGGGUCUGCAGCCAUCUGGGCUUGAUUGAGCUGGUCCCCUGGCAGGCACAGCUGUAAAGCUGGGCAAAGCUAGAAAGCUGGCAACUCCAGGCUUCAGCUCAGCUCCAUCUCCCUGCUUGACAGGGCUGCCUCAAGACCACCUUGAACCCCCUGCCUUCUGGGCUCCAGCUCUCAAUCAACCCUGUGCUCUCCACAAGCCUGCAGCCUCCUAUAAGAAGCACUGCCUGGUUGGUAAUCUCAGCCACCUGGUGAUUUCCACACCUCUGCCUGGGCUUUCAGUUCUGCCUGUUGGAAUCCUGCAGCCACUGUUAAGCCUUUCUUAGCCAUUCUGUAACCUGUGCAUUAUUGUGUGAAAUGUGAUGUGUGUUAGUAAUUAACUAUAGGUGUUAGUAAUUAAGAUUGGAAAAAAUAACCUAUGAUUGCCUGGCUCACUGUCUACUGAGUGAACUUUGAUUACUCAGCUUGAUAAGGCUGACAAAAUUGGUGUAGCUUGUGAAUUUAUUGUCAUUCAAUAAAUACUGACAUUGUGAAAAGACAAAAACAUGUCCAGGCUAUGUCACUGGCAUAGCAUGCUCAUGACGGUAUUAUCUGUGUAUUCUCUUAUUUUUAGUGUUUGACUAUAUUUUUCUUUGAAGGGAAGU
rnacentral:lncRNA from 1 species